GCUGGGUGUGGUGGUGCAUGCCUGUAAUCCCAGCAGCUCAAGAAGCUAAGGCAGGAGGAUCUCAAGGUCAAAGCCAGCCUCAGCUAAGGCUAGGCACUAAGCAACUCAGUGAGAUUCUGUCUCUA
rnacentral:sRNA from 1 species